UACGGAGGGUGCAACGUUGUUCGGAUUUAUUGGGCGUAAAGCGCGUGUAGGCGGUUUCUUAAGUCUGAUGUGAAAGCCCUGGGCUCAACCCAGGAAGUGCAUUGGAUACUGGGAGACUUGAAUACGGGAGAGGGUAGUGGAAUUCCUAGUGUAGGAGUGAAAUCCGUAGAUAUUAGGAGGAAUACCGGUGGUGUAGACGGCUCUCUGGACCGCCACUGACGCUGAGACACGAAAGCGUGGGUAGCAAACAGG
rnacentral:rRNA from 1 species